UACGUAGGGGGCAAGCGUUGUCCGGAUUCAUUGGGCGUAAAGAGCGUGUAGGCGGCCAGGUAGGUCGGUUGUGAAAACUGGAGGCUCAACCUUCAGAGGUCGACCGAAACCAUCUGGCUAGAGUCCGGGAGAGGAGAGUGGAAUUCCUGGUGUAGCGGUGAAAUGCGCAGAUAUCAGGAAGGAACACCGGUGGCGAAGGCAGGUCUCUGGGCUGACACUGACGCUCAUGCACGAAAGCGUGGGGAGCAAACAGG
rnacentral:rRNA from 1 species